UACGGAGGGUGCAAGCGUUAUCCGGAUUCACUGGGUUUAAAGGGUGCGUAGGUGGGUUGGUAAGUCAGUGGUGAAAUCCCCGAGCUUAACUUGGGAACUGCCAUUGAUACUAUCAAUCUUGAAUACUGUGGAGGUCAGCAGAAUAUGUCAUGUAGCGGUGAAAUGCUUAGAUAUGACAUAGAAUACCAAUUGCGAAGGCAGCUGGCUACACGAAUAUUGACACUGAUGCACGAAAGCGUGGGGAUCAAACAGG
rnacentral:rRNA from 1 species